ACAGCAGCAGCCACGGUAAUACGAAGGGUGCAAGCGUUACUCGGAAUUACUGGGCGUAAAGCGUGCGUAGGUGGUUGUUUAAGUCUGUUGUGAAAGCCCUGGGCUCAACCUGGGAAUUGCAGUGGAUACUGGGCAACUAGAGUGUGGUAGAGGGUAGUGGAAUUCCCGGUGUAGCAGUGAAAUGCGUAGAAAUCGGGAGGAACAUCCAUGGCGAAGGCAGCUACCUGGACCAACACUGACACUGAGGCACGAAAGCGUGGGGAGCAAACAGGAUUAGAUACCCCGGUAGUCCCUGUCUCUUAUAA
rnacentral:rRNA from 1 species